rnacentral:rRNA from 13 species
GCCAACGGCCUCAGCCAUGCAGGAACUACCGGUUCCCAUAAGAACACCGAAGUCAAACUGCGUUGGACACGGUUAACUCGAAACGGGUGACCGUGUGCUGUUGGCG